UUUUAUCUAAAUAUUUAUAUUUAAAGUUCCUAAAUUUUGUUUGAUUUAUUAUAUUAAAAAUCAAAAUUGAUCUUUACUUAAUAUCAAUUAAAAUGAAUAAAAUUUUACUAAAUCUUAUCCUGCUUGUUCUAAAUUUCCACAAGUCCCAUGGGAGCGCCAGUUCGAUAAACAAGGAAAACCUGACAAGAUGCAUAGAUGUUUUAUUGGAAAAUUGCGAAUUCAGAGCACAUUAUGAAUUGCAAAAAAAUUGUAAAUAUGAAAAAUUAAUAGAAAUUCUAGAUAUACAUAAUGGGAAGAUAAAUAAUCAAUCAAACAUACUUUUUACAAAAAAAACUAGUACUGCGCUAAGAAAACUCAGAAAUUUUUUCCGCUCCUGCAAGGGUUAUGAGAAAAAAACUGAGAAGAGCAAAAAAAGAAUUUUUGGGAAAUAUUUAAAAUAUAAUAACCUUACAUUAUUAUCGUUGGCGACCUUUCCUCAAUUAACUAAAGCAGACAUAUUACAGCGAAUAGCCAAUUUAUUCAGAU